rnacentral:rRNA from 1 species
AUACCUACGGGAGGCAGCAGUGGGGGAUAUUGCACAAUGGGGGAAACCCUGAUGCAGCGACGCCGCGUGGGUGAAGAAGCGCCUCGGCGCGUAAAGCCCUGUCAGCAGGGAAGAAAAUGACGGUACCUGAAGAAGAAGCCCCGGCUAACUACGUGCCAGCAGCCGCGGUAAUACGGAGGAUGCGAGCGUUAUCCGGAUUUAUUGGGUUUAAAGGGUGCGCAGGCGGAGGCACAAGUCAGCGGUAAAAUCGCGGGGCUCAACCCCGCUCCGCCG